AACGAACGCUGGCGGCAUGCCUAACACAUGCAAGUCGAACGAGACCUUCGGGUCUAGUUGCGCACGGGUGCGUAACGCGUGGGAACCUGCCCUUAGGUUCGGAAUAACUCCCCGAAAGGGGUGCUAAUACCGGAUAAUGUCUUCGGACCAAAGAUUUAUCGUCUUUGGAUGGGCCCGCGUUGUAUUAGCUAGUUGGUAGGGUAAAAGCCUACCAAGGCGACGAUCCAUAGCUGGUCUGAGAGGAUGAUCAGCCACACUGGGACUGAGACACAGCCCAGACUCCUACGGGAGGCAGCAGUGGGGAAUAUUGGACAAUGGGCGAGAGCAUGAUCCAGCAAUGCCGCGUGAGUGAUGAAGGCCUUAGGGUUGUAAAGCUCUUUUACCCGGGAUGAUAAUGACAGUACCGGGAGAAUAAGCUCCGGCUAACUCCGUG
rnacentral:rRNA from 1 species